CCCUCCUAAAAAGGUUCUCAUGUGCAAAUGCAUGCAUGUGGAUAGUAACAGUGGAAAUGACCGCAGUGAUUUCCUUUGGUUUUGAUCAGUGGUUUUUCAGAUGGGCUAUGUGAGCUACUUGGGAAGCCAGAUCCUCUUGUGUUCAUGGUAUCCUUGUAUGAGGAAGGAGGAUCAUGAGAGCAAGACUCUAGGACCCCUCACCAAUAUCCUGCCCUCAAUCCCGAUUAUCUUUCUUGAAAAAGUACAAUUAUAUUUGAAAAACUGACUUUAUACUCCCAAAUUAAUUCCCUUUAAAAUGGGAUUUAAUUAUACACAUAACAUUAAUUGUGUCAUCAAAUACUAGGUUGCCUGAAUUGCUGUGUACAAAUAAUCUUAUUUGGUGUGUGUAGAAGGGUGACAGUAAAACAC
rnacentral:lncRNA from 1 species